CUAACCGGCAUAGAAUCUUUGAUACCCAUGCCUGAUAGGAACGCUAUCAUUUACAGUUUACCACUAUAUACAGGGAUCGUGCUAAAGAAAUUUCUAUUACGGUCAUUUCUCACUCAUGUUAUGGAAAACAUUCGAAUUCAUGCCAUCUGAAAAAAUAAAUAAAUAGGUAAAAUUUGAGAUAUUCAAAAUAGACCGAUGUUUGCUCAAAAUUUCUGACGACCCCUGUAUUAGUUCUCGUUAUCAUUCGCUACUGCCUAUCAAUAAACAUAACCAUUUAUACCUACAACAAAGGAACGAGAUUAGAGAUAACAGUCGACACUAACUUAUAUUUAUUCAAUGCUGGAUUAGAUUCUGAUCCGCUUCGGUGUUUGGCUCAAUGUUGACAGAUCAUCUGUCAGAUACUCCAAUGGAAACACUGUUGUUUACGUAUGAAUAGGAAAUUUAUGUUGUUACGAUUCGUAACUACUAGUGACAGACCACAGAAUAUCAUUUUCAGUGUUUCAGAAAAUUUUGCCAAUCUUAGAAAACAAAAUCUCAUAUUCAAACGCCAAAAAUCAGGAACACAGAAGAUUAUCGCCUAACAUUGAAGCCAGAGACUCUAUAACAGUGUUGCCAUCGCCAUUUUAUUCCCGAUUGGAAUCGAUUGAUUCGAAUUCUUUAGUUGCAGUCUUCCCUGUUUCAGUUCUAAUUUUAGUUGGCAGGAGAAUUAUAGCGGCCUGUCAAACGGUUAAAACAAAACCAUCCGGUCGGAACAAUAAAAUUAUAUUUAGAUGGUGGAAUGCCCGUAAUUUAUAAUGACGAUUACAAAUGUAUCGACGACGUUGGACAAAGCGAUUGUGUUCGUUACAGCCUAUUGGGGAGUAAUUGCUUAUCAAUUGGAUACGAGUAAACGAUUAAAUAGGGAGAUAAGUCACUAAUUUUGGUGAAAGAAUGAAACGUCGCUCUAUGUGUCAUCCAGUGGAUCACGGGUCUCAUUGUCGAUGAAAAUACCGAUGUGUGAACAUCUGCAAAAGCAAACAAAGUUGCAGAAUUCACCGUUGGAUCGUGGUACACGACCACAGAAAAAUAUUGACAGCCAACUCACGGUAUUGUCAAGUCAACAAUAUCAAUGGUUCAGCCUUUAACCUCACCAUCCUCGUUUUAUGUAUGUAGAACAAUAAACUGUCCAGAAAAUCGA